rnacentral:lncRNA from 1 species
AUUAAGGUAAUCAACAGAGUGUUGGAUUUUACAUGAGCUAUUCGACAACUUAUGGAGAAAUAAAUAUAGGAGUAGCUGUUAAAAUACAAUCCCAAUCGCGAACCGUGUAUCUUGCAUUGUAGAGUACUAUUAUUACAAUGGUACUGACCGUUGAUCAGUGAUUAUUCAUACAUCUCCAGACCUAGUACGGACUCAAAUUAUCGAACGCAGUGUCGGCAGAGUAUAUAUAUAUGCCAGUCCCUGAAUGUUAACAGAGUAUGGUAGUCCCUCCUAUGAUUUAUUACAGCAUAGGUUCAUUCUCAUAUGAGA